rnacentral:rRNA from 1 species
ACGCUCGACACCUACGGGAGGCGGCAGUAGGGAAUCUUCCACAAUGGACGCAAGUCUGAUGGAGCAACGCCGCGUGAGUGAAGAAGGUCUUCGGAUCGUAAAACUCUGUUGUUAGAGAAGAACACGAGUGAGAGUAACUGUUCAUUCGAUGACGGUAUCUAACCAGCAAGUCACGGCUAACUACGUGCCAGCAGCCGCGGUAAUCUGAGCGGGCUGGCAAGGC